GUAGGUGUCUGCCGUGUCAGACAUUCUCCGCACUGAGGAGUGCCAGAAACAUUGGCAUAUUAUAAAAUCUGAGGCAAGACGGAACACCCGCAAGCAGAGAGAAGCCAUGACUGCCACAGAUGGUGGACCUCCUGCCAACCCUCCUCUCUCCCAGCACAAUGAGUUAAUCUUAGAGAUUUUGGACCCUAAGAAUGUCUCUAUUCAUGGGUGUACCAAUAAGGCAAGCAUCAUUGAAUGCACCUUCCUUAACAAAGGAUAAGCCACUUGUAGAUAUAGCAAUAUUAGGCCAUAAUGUUGUCUCAAAUGUCUGCAAUCCAAAAUACUCGUUCCCAUUUAGUUUACGUUAUACACAAUGGUAAAUUUGUUAUCUAGUGUUGAGAAAAUUUCAUUUUUUUUUCUUUAACCAAACAGCUAAAACAGUAAUAAGAAAAGAAAAAAAAACUAAUAAAGUUAACUUAAUUCCUAUAUCCCUUCUUCCCCCUCAUAAAUAUGGUGUUGUAGUGGGUGAAUGUGUUAAAGAUAACAAGUCUUAGGGAUUUACAGUUUCUUAGACAUGGGCUUCCUUCAAACAGAAUAGGAUUUAAGUCAAACACAUUGUACCCUUAGCUAGAUUUACUGGUUUCUGUUACUUUUGUCCUUAGCAAUAAAACCAAAAACAUUAUCAGCUUAGUUUCUGAAGUUAGAACUAAUAAUGCCAGCAGUGUGCAGGCAGCAGAUGAUGCUGGGGAAGUGGCAGAGGCAGCCCAACAGAGAGAAGUGGUGACCGAGGCAGUAGGUGUUGAGGAGGAGGCACCUGCCACACCACUUGCAGCACCAACAGGGGCCAGACUUGCCUGGUAUAUCACUGGUGUUUGUGGAUGAGGAGGAGAUCAUCCACCUGCAGAAGAAAAGGAAGCUUGAGCUUGCACUCCUUGAAGAAUCUAUAAUGGCUCAGGAAAGGAAGCAAGAAGCAGAACAGGCUAAGUACAUGUACUACACACAAAAACUAGAGUACCUGAAACAAACAAAUAAAAAAUAGUAAUAAAGAUAUAAAUAAUGUACUAUUUGUUUUUGUUUGUAACCACUCAACCAAAUAUUAGUGUUAACACAAAAUUAACUGCAGUUUCUAUAUGCUCAACCUACAAUCUACUUACUUCAGGUAUGGGAGAGAGA